rnacentral:rRNA from 1 species
UACGAAGGGGGCUAGCGUUGCUCGGAAUUACUGGGCGUAAAGCGCACGUAGGCGGCUUCUUAAGUCGGUGGUGAAAUCCUGGAGCUCAACUCCAGAACUGCCUUCGAUACUGGGAAGCUCGAGUCCGGGAGAGGUGAGUGGAACUGCGAGUGUAGAGGUGGAAUUCGUAGAUAUUCGCAAGAAUACCAGUGGCGAAGGCGGCUCACUGGCCCGGUACUGACGCUGAGGGGCGAAAGCGUGGGGAGCAAACAGG